GACGAACGCUGGCGGCGCGCCUAACACAUGCAAGUCGAACGAGCGAGAGAGAGCUUGCUUUCUCAAGCGAGUGGCGAACGGGUGAGUAACGCGUGAGGAACCUGCCUCAAAGAGGGGGACAACAGUUGGAAACGACUGCUAAUACCGCAUAAGCCCACGACCCGGCAUCGGGUAGAGGGAAAAAGGAGCAAUCCGCUUUGAGAUGGCCUCGCGUCCGAUUAGCUAGUUGGUGAGGUAAUGGCCCACCAAGGCGACGAUCGGUAGCCGGACUGAGAGGUUGAACGGCCACAUUGGGACUGAGACACGGCCCAGACUCCUACGGGAGGCAGCAGUGGGGGAUAUUGCGCAAUGGGGGAAACCCUGACGCAGCAACGCCGCGUGAAGGAUGAAGGUCUUCGGGAUUGUAAACUUCUUUUAUUAAGGACGAAGAAAGUGACGGUACUUAAUGAAUAAGCUCGGCUAACUACGUG
rnacentral:rRNA from 1 species